CGCUGCUUCUACUCUUUUCUGAUUUAGCUUUGCUGGUUUGUUUUUUGUCAGAUGUGUCAGACUCCACACAUCCAGUAGCAUAAAGCAGCAGAUGCUGUCAUUUAUGAACUAUGCAGGAGUCAGGGAGGUGUGUCUGCUCAGACUUGUCUCCAUCUGUUCCUCUGAAACAUCUGAACGUCACACAGCUCACUGUCAUCAGUUAUUAUACAGACGCAGCGGUUCAUUUUCACUGAUUCCAGUUGACUUACAGGCGCUGACCCUCCUCAUACCAGUGCCUUUCCAGCCAGUUAUCAGCAGCCCCCCUUCUUGUGCUGUCUGCAGUAUGUUAAAAUGCUAAUGUAGCCAUCCCCAUUUUUAGCACCAAUGACGCAAUUCCGUGGUAAAACUAAAAGGUGGAGCUUUGAUCACAAAAACUUAAUAUCUGACCUGUGUAAUCAAAUACUAACUAUAGAGACAGUUCUGAGAGCAGUCUGUUUGUGUCAUGAUCCGACAAACAACAUGGCAGAUUAGGACCGAGUCAGAGCCACACUAAACAAGAAUAGAUGAAAAUAUAACUAUUUCUAAUUAAAAGCUUCAUGACAAAACCAAAAAAAGACUCCUGGACAGGAAAACAAGUAUAACAAAGAAAACCAGACUAAGCAAAAAAGAGUUAACGAAACAAGUCUAAAUUGUACAAUGCACGUCUUAUGUGUAGGGCAAGGCGUGGCUGACAUGGCUGAAUAAGGCUAAACAUGUUAUGGUUCGGCCCUCAUACCACCAGGGGGAACUCAUAUCAUUAGUCACAUUAGUCACUCUACAGUCGUAGCACUUAAAAGUGUCAGUCUUUACGGCAAUCAGUUUUCAUUUGCAGCGAGCUAUCACCUUGUUUUUACCACGUUGGAGCGUGUGUUACAUCUUUUUGGCCUAUAGGCGGCGAUCAGCCCCCACACUGGCCACUAUGACGGUGUACUAAGACCAUGUUAUGUGGGCCCAACGUAACAAUGUCUUGGUGGUGUAAUGGUUAGUUAUUGUUUAACAGUUUUGAUCCGGCAGUUUUUUUGUCCCGGGUUCGAAUCUCGGUGGAAGCAGAGAUGUUGUAAUUACUGAACAAUCAGCGUUGUUAUGUCAUUUUUAUAUUUUGGCCUACAAGAUAAUAACAAAUGACUAAUAGGGCUGGCUGCCUGUAUUAUUUAGCAGACAAUUGUAGUAUUUAGUAUAGUAGUAUUUCCAAGUUAUGGCAGUUCAAAACCGAAAUAAGCAGCUGUAUUGUUUGCUUAGACAGAUCGAGUGUGUGCUCCCACUUACAGCGUUCGAUUUUAUUAUGAUAUUAUUCCUGCAGGAGAAUCAGAUGCCGCAAAAAAAUCUGAGCGACUCUGGAUUUUGCCGACUUUUUUUCUGUUAAAUAAAUACGUUUUACGAAACGUCCACAGUCUACAGUCCACAGUUGUGUUCUCGCAUGCUCUGGGAGCGUUCCACAGACUAGGCAGCUGAGCGAAUUGUUCGAUCUCUUUUGAGUUUUGUCUUCAGCUAAAUAAGUGUAAAACAGUCCUUAUCACUCAUGCAGAAUCAAUAAAUGCAGAACAAUAACAAAUGCAGAUCAGAGAUCUGCUGAGUCCUGGCGUUCUGGCAUACCACAGAGAGAGUUUAUUACAAUUUAUUCAUUUUUAUUAUAUAAUCUUCUCUACAAGUUAGCAGUGGUAGUCUGCCAGACUUGUGUUAAAUACCAUAAGAAGAGCGUUUAAAAAAAGUCAAGUGAAAGUUUUUCGUGUCCCACAGCCUAUGUAGGUGCAGCUGAUGAUGCUGCCCGAUCUCCCAUGGAGCUUUUCUUUGUCUCGGAGCUAAAGUAUUUUAGACCUAUUGACCGAAUGAGGACAAUAUUUUAAUGUCUCUGUGCCAAUACGGAGUAGGGGGAUGGGGUGUGAAGUUUGCUUUUGCGACUAAAUCAACAUCAGACUCCAUGUUUACGGCGCAGAGCAAAUUUCCAAAUCCACUGUGUUGCCUGUGUAAUAAAAGUUUGUUUCUCUACAGAUAUUGUGAUUAAUGUCAUUCCGGUAAAAUGUUGGAGCUUCCAUUUAAAGGACAUUGGCUAAUUACUACUGGUUUAAUUGUUCUCGCACACAACUUAAAAGUGGUUUAUGCUGCAAAGCAGAAGUUAUUUUCGUGUUCAUCCAGUAUAACCGUUAACAUUUGGAAACACACUGUGUCUCCUCUCUUAAUGUGUUUUUCCGUUUUUUCCUUAAAACGGGUAAUGGCUUUAAAUCCAAUUCCGGGUCUAGUUUUGAAAACAUUUUUUUCAGCUCAUUUAUUCGUUUUUAACACGGUGCCGUCUUUAAAUUUUUUUUUUUUUAUUUUUUUUUUUUUAUUUUAUUUAUAUAGCGCCAAAUCACAACAAAGUUAUUUCAAGGCACUUUACAAAGUAAGGUUUAAAACCUCACACAACUAAACCCAACAAAUCCCACAUACAGCAAGCAUUUAAUUUGACAGCAACAGUGGAGAGGAAAAACUCCCUCUCUAACGAGGAAGAAACCUCCAGCAGAACCAGACUGGAUGUGGGCGGCCAUCUGCCUCGACCGGUUGGGGUGAGAGGAUAGAGAGAUAGAAAAGCACAGCAACAGCAACAAGCAACAACAAGCAACAACAGAGCACAGGCAGGAUGGUAGGACCAGGGACUGGAUGCAGGCAGGAUGGUUGGAUCCGCAGCUGCCCAUCACAGACACCAAACUUUGAGUCCAAUGAUACCUGUAGGUGAGGACAGAGAGGGAGAAAGAGUGGGGGUGGGGGGGGAGAGAGGAGAGAAGCACAACUACUGGACAGAAAGAGACAAGGUUAGUUAAACAUGGGACAAUGAUGGGAGGUUAUGGGACAGAGGAGGUAGAAGGAAACAGAGGAGCUCAGUGUAUAAAUUAAGUCCCCAAGCAGUCUAUGUCUAUUGCAGCUUAACUAAGAGAUGGUUCCUGUGACUAACAAUAAUUGCCAGUGACCUGAACCAUCUCUAACUAUAAGCUUUAUCAAAAAGGAAGGUUUUAAGCCUAAUCUUAAAGGUGGAGAGUGUGUCAGCUUCUCGAACCUGAAGAGGGAGCUGGUUCCAGAGGACAGGAGCUUGGUAGCUAAAAGCUCUGCCCCCUGUUCUACAUUUGAACACUCUAGGAACCACAAGUAGCCCAGCGCUCUGAGAACGAAGUGUUCUGCUGGGAGCAUAAGGAACUAUAAGGUCUUUAAGAUAAGAAGGAGCUUUAUCAUUGAGUACUUUGUAUGUGAGUAGGAGAAUUUUAAAUUCUAUCCUACAUUUUACAGGCAGCCAGUGCAGAGAAGCUAAUGUAGGAGAAAUGUGAUCUUUCUUUCUAAGUCCUGUCAGAACUCUGGCUGCAGCAUUUUGAAUGAGCUGUAGGCUUUUUAAGGAGCUGUUAGGACAUCCUAUGAGUAAGGAGUUACAGUAGUCCAGCCUAGAGGUAACAAAUGCAUGGAUCAGUUUGUCUGCAUCGCUCUGAGAGAGGAUGCUUCUGAUUUUAACUAUAUUUCUAAGGUGGAAGUAGGCAGUUCUGGAGAUUUUUUUAAUGUAUGAUGUAAAAGAGAGAUCCUGGUCAAACAUGACACCAAGGUUCCUCACCUAGAAUCUGAAGCUAAUGUUAUGCCAUCCAGGGUGGCUAUCUGACUCAAUAGUGUCUCUCUCAGAUUUUUAGACCCAACAAUAAGAAUCUCGGUUUUAUCUGAGUUUAAAUGAAGGAAGUUUUGGGACAUCCAGGAUUUGAUGUCUUUUAAACAACCCUGAAUUUUGACUAGUUGAUCUGUUUCAUUUGGUUCCAAGGACAUGUAUAGCUGAGUAUCAUCUGCGUAAAAAUGAAAAUUAAUAGAAUGCUUUCUAAUAAUCUCACCUAGAGGAGACAUGUAUAGGCUAAACAGAAUUGGACCCAGCACAGAACCCUGUGGAACUCCAUAGCUAAUCCUUGUGCGUGUGGAGAAUUUAUCAUUAACAUGAACAAACUGGAAUCUGUUCAACAAAUAGGAUUUAAACCAUCCCAAUGCUGUUCCAUUAAUCCCGAUUCUAUGUUCUAGUGUCUGUAAAAGAAUGUUAUGAUCAAUUGUAUCAAAUGCAGCACUAAGAUCUAACAGGACAAGGACAGAAACUAGACCAUUGUCCGAAGCUAAUAGAAGAUCAUUAGUGACUCUAACCAGAGCUGUUUCUGUGCUAUGAUGUUUUCUAAAUCCUGACUGAAAAUCUUCAUACAGGUUAUUCCCACUAAGGUGGUCAGAUAAUUGUUUAGCCACGAUUUUUUCCAGAAUCUUGGAAAUAAAGGGUAAAUUUGAAAUGGGCCUAUAGUUGGCUAGUUGUCCAGGGUCAAGGGUUGGUUUUUUCAAUAGAGGUUUGACCACAGCCACCUUAAAAGCCUGUGGUACAUAGCCUAGUUGUAAAGAUUGGUUGAUUUGAUUUAAUAUGGAUGAGCUGAUUAAAGGUAGAACUUCUUUGAGUAAUCUGGUUGGGAUUGGAUCUAAAAGACAAGUGGACGACUUGGAAGAGUUAAUUAUUGAGGUUAACUCCAUAUGAGUUAUGGGGGAGAAGCUGUCUAGGUAAGACAGAGGAUUUAAUAAAUUUAAAGUUGAUGGAUCUAGACAGUGCUUUCUGUCAUUUGGAAGAAGUCGCUGCUGAAUGUUUUUUCUAAUGAUGAUAAUUUUAUUAGUAAAAUAGUUCAUAAAGUCAUUGCUGCUGAGAUUUAAGGGGAUAGUAGACUCAAUACAGCUAUGACUCUUUGUCAGCCUGGCUACAGUGCUGAAAAGAAACCUGGGGUUGUUUUUGUUUUCCUCAAUUAGGGAGGAAUAAUAUGUUUUUCUAGCAGCACAAAGUGCUUUUUUAUAUUUCAUUAGACUGUCCUUCCAUGCAAUGCAGUUUACAUUUAUUUUGUUGGAACGCCACUGUCUUUCUAGUUGUCUAGUCCUUUGCUUUAGGCUGCGGAUGUCUGAGUUAUACCACGGAGCUAACCUCCUCUGUGUCAUGAUCUGUGUUUUCGUUUCUAGUUGUUUUCCAGUAGUCACGCCAUGUCCUGUUUUAUUUUGUUAACUUCCCGUUCCAGUCAGCUGUCCACUUACCGGUUCUCAGUAUCCACACCUGUCAGUAAUUAUGUAAUCAUUCUGUGUAUUUAGCCACCACCGUUUCCCAUAGUCCUUUGCCAGAUUGUUGUAUUCGAGUUUCAUUAGUGUUCCGUGUUUCCUGAGCGUUCCGUGUUUCCCGUGUUUUCGUGUUCCGUGUUCCAGUACCUUGUUUCCAUCCGGCUGUGUUUCAUGAGUCUUCCGAGUUUCGUUCGUGUUUCUUUGUUCCGAGUUUCCUGUGUCUCCGUGUAUCCUGCCUGACCUGGACUACUACUGACCGUGAGUUUGCCUGAUUCCUGCCUGUAUUUUUGCCGUGACCAUUUCGUGUAUGACCUGGACCGUCUGACCCUGCCGUAAAGAAAUAAACCUCUGUCUGAUCAUAAUCCUGCCUCCGUGCUGUGCAUGUGGGUCCGCCGCCUGCCCGAGUCCUGACACUCUGAUUCACUGUCUUCUUCUUCAGAGGAGCCACUGUGUCUAACAUUGUACGUAGAGAAGCUGCAGCAUCAUCUACAAGACAGUCAACCUGUUCAUAGGGAUUAAGGUGACUGUUCUCUGUGUAUCUGCAAGACAUUGAGGCAAAAGAUGAUGGAAUCAUCUGCUUGAAUGUGGCAACAGCAUUGUCAGAUAAACAUCUGCUAUAGUAACAUUUCUUUCCAGCUGUCAUAGGGUCAGUUGUGCUAAAUUCAAAAGUUAAUAAGAAAUGGUCAGAUAACAGAGGGUUUUGGGGAAGAACUAUUAAAUUAUCAAUUUCAACCCCAUAUGUCAGGACAAGAUCUAGGGUGUGGUUAAAACGAUGAGUGGGUUCAUUUACCUGCUGUGUAAAACCAAUAGUGUCUAUUAAGGAGUUAAAAGCAGUGCUGAGACAGUUGCUGUCAACAUCUACAUGAAUGUUAAAGUCUCCCACUACAAUGACUUUAUCUGUGCUAAGAACUAAGUCAGAUAAGAAUUCAGAGAAUUCAGUUAAGAACUCUGAAUAUGGAGCAGGAGGACGGUAAACAAUACAAAACACAACUGGUUUCUGAGUUUUAGAGUCUGGGUGAGAAAGACUCAGAGUGAGGCUCUCAAAUGAGUUAUAACUAAGUUUAGGUUUAGGAGUAAUUAAUAAAUCUGAUUUAUAAACUGCUGCUACUCCUCCACCUCUACCUGUACUUCUUGGAACAUGAUAGUUGAUGUGACUCAUUGGAGUCGACUCAUUUAAAGUAACAUAUUCAUCCUGCUGCAGCCAGGUUUCAGUGAGACAGAACAGAUCUAUGUGAUGGUCACUUAUCAAGUCAUUUAUUAAAAAGGAUUUAGAUGAGAGAGAUCUGAUAUUUAAUAAACCACACUUUAUUAGCUUACUGUUACUUUGUUCCGUAAGAGGAACUGUUUUGAUGUUUAUUAAAUUCUGGUAAGUCACUCCUCUUUGAUUUGUUUGUGACUUGUAUAGUUUAGGUGGUCGAGAAGCAGACACAGUCUCAAUGCGAUAACUAAGACUAAGAGUGGGUCGCGGCUGUAGAGAACAUGCAGAGAGGCGUGUAAGACUGCGACUCUGCGUCCUGGGCUCCACUCUGAGUUGUCAAGCAGUGGGGGGACUAAGCAACAUGGCCAUGUUACUAGAGAGCAGAGAGGCUCCGUUCAACGUGGGAUGGACGCCGUCUCUUCUAAUCAGCCCAGGUUUUCCCCAAAAAGUGCUCCAAUUAGCCACAAAGCCCACAUCGUUUGCAGGACACCACCUGCACUUUUUGCGCUUAAGAGAAACGAGGAAACUGAUGUUCAUUGUAUUUUAUUUCUUGGACAACUUAACCAGAAAACGGCUUGAAUUCAGCCGAUGUGAAUGUGCCCGUGGGCAAAGUGUGUAAACUUUAUUAAAAGUAUACGAAAGUUUUACCAGCACAAUGAGGCUGAUGGUAGCGGCUUGUUAAUUGUUUUUGCCAUGGUUUUGUUGACUUAUGAACCAUUUUUUCUAUGUUUCAGCUUAAAAUGUCGCAGCUUUAAAGGAGUCAUAUCAUACUUUUCAUUCUAAAAAAUAUUAGACUUUAAUGUCUCAGUAAGGUCUCUGUAAAUUCUAAUCCCAUAAAACCCUGUAGAUCGUCCACACUGCCCCUGUCAAUGUGUGGUUUUCACUCUCCAUCAGCAAACGCUGUGUUUUCUGGGCGUGUCGCAAGCGAAGCUGCUCACCACACCUCUGUGCGGAAGCGCAUACCUUUUUUGUUAUUGUUUUUUUUUUUUUAAAUUGGCUCCGUGGAUACGAGCCACUGCACGGUUACGAUACAAUAGGUGGCAGUAGUGCGACAUUGAGAACGAAAUCCUCCACAGAAGAAGACCCGCUACAGGACUGCACAACAUUAGCCAGCUAGUUCGUAGCGUAGUAGAACCAUACGUCUACGAUCCCGAAUCUGACCCUGAAGCUGAAGAGGAGGCUGUUGAAGUCGCCACAUUUCGGCUGAUGCAAGAUGUGUCUCAUUGUUGUUACAGGUAUCUAGUCUACAGAGGCUAGUGAGCUGGUGCUGAGGAUUCCUGGGGUGAAGAAUCUGAGUUGCCAUCUCUUCAUGCUUGGGUUGUAGAUGAAGGCAGUUUCCUGAUGGAUAAAACACUAAAACACUCAUAGUAUGAUUGAUGUAGACCACCUGCAGAAUAACUCCUUUACCAUUUGAGUAAAAAUGUGUUUUUUGUGAGUGCAACACUCAUUAAGAAUUUUUUUAACUUUAUUUAUAUAUAAUUUAUAUGCGUUUUAUUUAUGGCCGCUUCAACUUUAUAGCUUACCAUAUUAGAAAGAGAAAAACAUGUAAUUUCAAUACUAUGAUUUCCUAAAUAAAAGUGUUUUCCCUUCAGAAA